rnacentral:rRNA from 1 species
AAAUAUAUUCCGCUAAAAGAUGGGUCUGUAUAAGAUUAGGUAGUUGGUAAUUUUAACAGCUUACCAAGCCUUCGAUCUUUAAUUGGUCUUAGAGGAUGAUCAAUCACACUGGAACUGAAACAAGGUCCAGGCUGAAUUUUCGGCCAGCAGUGAGGAAUAUUGGACAAUGAACGAAAGUUUGAUCCAGCAAUACUAUCUGAAUGAAGACGGCUUUUUUAGUUGUAAAGUUCUUUCGUUAAGGAUGAUAAUGACAUUAUUUAAAGAAGUUUUAGUCCCGGCUAAUACUCGUGCCAGCAGCCGCGGUGAUACGGGAGGGGCAAGCGUUAUCCGGCAUGACUGGGCAUAAAGGGUCCGUAGACCGUAAAGUAAGUUACUUGUUAAAUUUUAAAACCUAACUUUAAGACAGCUUGUAAUACUGCUUUACUUGAGUUUUAUACAGAAGAGUAGAAUUUUAUACGAAAGGGUAAAAUCUGAAGAUAUAUAAAGGAAUACCAUUAGCGAAGGCGACUCUUUGGUAAAAACUGACGUUGAGGGACGAAAGUAUGGGUAGCAAACGGGAUUUAGAUACCCUGGUAGUCCAUACUGUAAACUCUGAGUGCUGUAAUUUAAUGUGUGUAUUUUAGAUACUCAUUUAGAUUUUUAAGCUAAUGCUAUAAGCACUCCGCCUGAGGAGUAUAAUCGCAAGGUUGGAACUCAAAGGAAUUGACGGGGGCUAAUACUAGUGGUGGAGCAUGUGGUUUAAUGCGAUAAUCCGCGCAAAACCUUACCAAUUCUUGACAUAGAAGUUUAAUUUCAUUUUACACUUUAGGUAAAUUAAUUCAAAUAAUAACUUUUACAGGUGUUGCACGACUGUCGUCAGCUCGUGUCGUGAGAUGUUUGGUUAAUUCCCUUAACGGGCGUAACUCUUAUCUUUA